rnacentral:rRNA from 1 species
CCUACGGGGGGCAGCAGUCGAGAAUCAUUCACAAUGGGGGAAACCCUGAUGGUGCGACGCCGCGUGGGGGAAUGAAGGUCUUCGGAUUGUAAACCCCUGUCAUGUGGGAGCAAAUUAAAAAGAUAGUACCACAAGAGGAAGAGACGGCUAACUCUGUGCCAGCAGCCGCGGUAAUACAGAGGUCUCAAGCGUUGUUCGGAAUCACUGGGCGUAAGGCGUGCGUAGGCUGUUUCGUAAGUCGUGUGUGAAAGGCGCGGGCUCAACCCGCGGACGGCACAUGAGACUGCGAGACUAGAGUAAUGGAGGGGGAACCGGAAUUCUCGGUGUAGCAGUGAAAUGCGUAGAUAUCGAGAGGAACACUCGUGGCGAAGGCGGGUUCCUGGACAUUAACUGACGCUGAGGCACGAAGGCCAGGGGAGCGAAAGGGAUUAGAUACCCCAGUAGUC